AAAUGAACUUGACAGCAGUCCAGAGGAGCUGAUAUGAGCAGGGAGACCAGAGGCUCUGAUGGCUGCAGGCUCUGCGGCUGCCGAGAGGAAACAAAGAAGCUACUCCCUUCCCCAUCAGUCCUCUGAGCUCCUCAAUCCAGAGCAACAAGAUAUAGUAAGAGUCACGAUGACCUCCUUUGGAUAUAACAACUUGCUCCUCUGGACACUUGUUUGUAGGAACAGGCUGUUCUUCAGCCAUUUACAUCAUCACAAGAGGUAUGCAGAGGCUCAUCCAGCAAUUCAUAUGGAGACAUGCAGAGUGGGAGCAGCUCAACACAUCACAUUAGAACAGAUGCCCUUCAGAAUUUUUACUGAUGCAAGAAACCCAGCAGCUUCUAGAGGCACUGUUUGUCACUUAAGUGCAUGUCUAAAUGCAGAAUCCUGACAUUAACCUGCUGAAGAUAUUUAGAGAAACUUCCUUGCAAUAUCAUCAUACCUCAACCAGGUCGAGGAGGAUGUAACUGCUUCAUCUCUGUUCAGGCAGCUUUCAAGGGCUUAGGUUAAUACAAACUACAGUGAUGAUUAUUUUGAAUUGAAGACUUGUCUCUUGGACUGAAACACUGCCUUUCUUUUUAGGAACACUAAGCAGUCUGAUAUAUUGUGUCUAAAUACAUAUGCCAUCUGUCCGUGUCAUCAUAGUCAUCUGUUCUGUCAUUUAAUAUUGCCACAUUCCACAAGUUGCUUUACAAGCUAAAUAAGUUGGAGUGACCCAUAUAAAUUGUGAAAAUCUACAGGUCAGUGUGGAAGAAAGCAGCAAGGAGCAGGAAGAAGCAUUCCUGCCCAAGGAAAGCAUGCUCUGCACUACAGAUUCAGUAUGUAGGAACUGAAGAACUGCACCCCCCCUUCCUCUCAGUGCUCACAUUAAUUUUGAGAGGCACAUCACAGCUCAACAGUCACCAAUGGAGAGAUGGAAAGAAAGAAAGCAGACAAGAGGCAAAGAGGUACUUGCAGAUAGCAUGAAGCAGUGGAGGGCUGGAAGAGUUUGAAGACAAACUGCUUCAGAGGGAGUUCCCAUUCCCAAAACAUCCGUGUUGAGACUGUAAGAGAGGUGAGAAGGUCACUGCCACACAAGGCAAGAAGGCAAUGUUUGAACAAACUGGGGGAAUGAGGGGACAGCAGUGAUGUGGUGGCUGUACUUUGCAUAUUAGAGAAAGAAGACAGCAUUGAUCAGAAAAUACGGUAUUUGGAGUGCUGGAAUUUGAUGAUGUCAAAAGAAGAAAAACAAGUCAGAGUUGAAAUGAGACAAAGGGAUCAUUACAGUGUUGGGCAAAGCAAGGUAUUGAUCAGUACCAAGGACUGAGCAUAGGUAGACCACCAGAUGGGAGAUUACAAAACUGGCAUGAUAUUCCUAUUUAUUUCUGCUCACUGUGGAAAUACCAUACAGUCGUAAGUUACUUCUUAAUCUCAUCUGCUUAUUAAUUUUCAAUCUAAUUACAAGAUAUGAAAAUUUGAAUUAGUAGAACAUUUAUGCAUUACAGAUUUAUUUAUUCAAGGUUUGCUACAGCAAGCUGCAAAGGAAUUAUUCAAAAAAUUUGAAGUGAAACAAUAAGAAUUAAGAAUUCCUUAGGAAAUAAAGUCAUGACUUAAGGGAACA
ensembl:lncRNA